rnacentral:lncRNA from 1 species
AGCGUUCUAAAACCAACAAGAUUGGUCCUUAAUAAACUCUCGAGAUUCGUGAGUGAAGCAAGCUGUAAUGACUUGUGUUCUGAAACCAGCGUUCUGAAACCAGCAAGAUUGGUCCUUAAUAAUCUCUCGACAUUCAUGAGUAAAUCAAGCACAGCUUGCUUCACUGUAAUGCUCUGCUCUGUGCAAACCACCUCUUUGAAUAUGUGAAAUCUUACAUCUUGUUGCUGGUUUUUUUAGAGAGCAGAAAAGGUAGAGGGUGAGAAGAGACUGAAGCGGCGAAGAGGGAGAGGAUGAGAAGAGACUGAAGAGGUGAAAACUAGAGCUACGGGCCUAGCCUCUAUUUGCUGAGUUUGUUUUUUAGCGAGCAGAAAAGUUAGAGGGUGAGAAGAGACUGCAGCGGCGAAGAGGUAGAGGAUGAGAAGAGGCGAAAACUAGGGCUACGGGCGAGGCCUCUAUUUGCUGAGUUUUUGGGAGAGCGAAAGGGAAAACUCAGCGGCUCUCAUUUCUUAGAGAGAGGAAGAGGCGAAAGCUAAGGCUACGGGCCUGGUCUCCAUUUGCUGAGUUUUUUUUGCCCCUAUUUUUUGAGUUUUUGGGAGAGCGAAAGGGAAAACACAGCUCUCAUUUCUCAGAGAGAGGAAGAGGCGAAGGCUAGGGCCGCGGGCCUGGCCUGCUGUUCAAAGAAGAUAAAAACCAUAGGCACAUGCAUUAUUUUGUAAAAUAAGUCCCAUACGAAGUCUUGUAAGAUUUUUGAGAAAGUCCCAUGGGAGGGCCUGAGCCACUGUUUCUGGAGAGAAAAAUGCUACUAAGCUUGAAUAGAAACAGGUUAGAGAGAGAGGGAUGAAGCAGGGAGAAGAAAGAAGGUAAAGCAGGAAGGAGAGCAGGGAGGGAGGAGAGGAUAGAGCGCUACUAAGCUUGAAUAGAAAGAGGUUAGAGAGAGAGAGAGAGACAUGAAGCAAGGAGGAAAAAGAAGGUAAAACAGGAAAGAGACUAGGGAAGAGCGUGAGGCGCGAGCGCGUACGGUUUUAAGAGAAACAUGACCCAAAAGAUUCGAGUCGGACUUAAAUAUUUUAUUGUUCGUGAUUUUGGGGUAAAG